GUCCACGCUGUAAACGUUGGGCGCUAGGUGUGGGGUGCUUCCACGUGUCCCGUGCCGUAGCUAACGCAUUAAGCGCCCCGCCUGGGGAGUACGGCCGCAAGGCUAAAACUCAAAGGAAUUGACGGGGGCCCGCACAAGCGGCGGAGCAUGUUGCUUAAUUCGACGCAACGCGAAGAACCUUACCAAGGUUUGACAUCACCCGGAAACUGCCAGAGAUGGUGGCCUCUUCGGACUGGGUGACAGGUGGUGCAUGGCUGUCGU
rnacentral:rRNA from 1 species